AUCGUCAGAUGCUCGCUUUUCUCUACACUCUUUUGUCUUUUGUAUUUGCUUUCUAUUAUUCUCCGUUUGUAGGAUUCUGAGUGUUUGCUCUUAUUUAGUCUCGGAUUUCUUUUUUUUUUUUUUUCGGAUUUUAGUUGAUCUGCUUUGCCUUCUACAAAUUAUCUGCUGUAUUUUCAGGUCCCUGGUUGAAGCAUCAUGGCUUCCAAACGUAUUUUGAAGGAACUUAAGGAUUUGCAGAAAGAUCCACCUACUUCUUGCAGUGCAGGUUUGUCUCAGAUGAUUAAUUUCUUUGGAGUCGUUCUUGAUUGUUUUAGAUUUCAGUUACCAGUGCUUAUUCUCAACGAUAUUUCACUACUCAGGGUGUUGCGACGAUUUAGCCCAUGCAUAAUCUAGUUAACUUUGUAUAGCAUCUACCUUGUUCUACUGGUACUACCAUCUUAGCCUCGCUCAAUGACUCGGGUGGUUGUUAUUGCGGAUUGGGGGUUUGCGUGGGAGAUAAUAGCUUCGAGACAUAGUGCUCUCUCUCUGGAAAAGAAAUUUAAGGGGAAACAAAAAGGAAAAAAAAGGAAAGAAGAAGCUUGAGUUCUGAUUGCUUUCUCUUCAUGCUUUCAUUUUCCUUUCCUUGUGGCUAAUUGUUUGAUGAUGUAUUGCGACUUUUCAUUAUUUUUUGCUAGUCACCAUUUGUUAUUUAUGGUUGUUUUCCCCAUUGCUGCAUCUGCUCCCUUAUUUGAGUUGCUAUUGCUCCUUUAUCCAUUAUAUCUGGCAAAUGGCUUUUUCGAUUUUACAAUCAUGAUGGAUUUUUCUUGAAAAUUUUGGAAGUACUAUUCAUUCAAAAUGUAUCUGAUCAAAUAGGAACAUGUGCAGUAAAACAUUGUAUGCUUUUAGCUCAGCUUUUUUGUUCUUUUGACUUGAUUGUGUCCUAUGAUUGGUUUUUCAGUUCUUCUUCUUCAUCCUAUUUUAUUUGUAUCUCAUGUAUUAUUUAGCAUAGUUUUGAGUAAACCAACCUCUGGAUUCAUGAUUAAUUGUAACAGGUCCUGUAGCUGAAGACAUGUUCCACUGGCAGGCAACAAUCAUGGGCCCAUCUGAUAGCCCAUAUGCUGGAGGCGUAUUUCUAGUUACUAUCCAUUUUCCUCCUGAUUAUCCAUUCAAGCCUCCAAAGGUAACUUAUGGGACUUGAGAUGUUUCUAGCCGUGUGCCUGUGAGUAGGGUUGGUAGGUGGAGGGAGGUGUGUUUAAAUAUAUGAGGCUUUUGUUUUGUGUUUUAUAUACUUAUUUGGAGCGAUAAUAUUUCUGUUCUCAGGUUGCAUUCAGGACAAAGGUCUUUCACCCGAACAUAAAUAGUAAUGGAAGCAUUUGUCUUGAUAUCCUCAAAGAACAGUGGAGCCCUGCUCUUACCAUUUCUAAGGUUUGAUUUGGAUCCAUGACUUUAGGCUGGUAAUUGUACAGCUUUAUAGGCGAGUGUCAAUAGUAAAUCAACAAUGGAAAAGGAGAACUUCAUCAUAUAAAAUUCAUGCUAAUAUUGUUGCAAUAGUUUAAGAAUAUGGUGAAACUUGCAUUAUUUUGGCAAAUUUAGUGCAACUGCUUUUGGUUAUUAGGCUGCAAAGCAUUAGUGUUACCUUAAAGUUUUUUUUGAAUUAUUUUGCCUUGGAUUUGUUUUUUUUCCCCCCUACAACUAUGAUUUGGUUAAGAGCUCAGACCUCAGGAUAUGAAAAUAUGAUUGCACGAGUUAUAAUCUUUAUCAUCUCUCCUUGAUCCGUGUCAAUUUUUCCAGUUCUCAAAAUUUUUGAAUGCCAUUGUAUGUAAAAUGCUCAAUGAACCUUAGCUGAAUCUGCAUGUCAAACUCCAAGAAGAAGAGAGAUGAGAGGGUUGUGCUGAUACUGAAAUGGGAUUCUAGCUUUGGACUUCUGAAAUUUUCUUCUGGAUAAUUUUCACUUCCAUGCAGCAGAGAAAUUAGGAAUUAUUACUCUAGCUAUGUAACCAUACUUGCCUUAUCAGGUACUGCUCUCCAUUUGCUCAUUGCUGACUGAUCCAAAUCCUGAUGACCCUCUUGUACCGGAGAUUGCCCAUAUGUAUAAGACUGAUCGAGCUAAGUAUGAAGCAACUGCACGCAGCUGGACACAGAAGUAUGCCAUGGGAUGAUAAAUAUUCAGAUACUGUAUAAAUGGGUUGUGUCUAUUUGUAGAAUGUGUUAAAUCCGUUUUAACUUUUGGACUUACUUAUUUGAGGGGGCCGUUUAGGGAAUGAACUUUUCCUCGGUGGAACUGAAACUAUAGUUUGAAGAUUGGCUGGAAAAUAACUGUAUGGUCAGGAUGUUUUGAUGUAGACAAUGUCUGUUGUUUUAAGCUAUUAUUUUCUCUGGUGUUAAAGCUCUUUUUUCACUUGGUGAUUUUGAUCCGAUAGUAAUGUGGCUCUUAUCGUGGGCCUCUGUUUCUCACAUAUGUGCCAUGCCAUAAAGUUUGGACCAUUGUUUUAGCCUCCAAAACACCAUUCGCUUUGAUGAGAGUAUCCAGGCGCUGGUCUCUAUAGCGGACAUCAAUUUUCCUCAGCCGAUGCUGGUACGUAUCUGCUAAUGCUUGAUUUGAGAAAUUUCUUUAAACAAUAUGCACCAUAUCAUAUGUUGGAGUUAAAAUAUAAAUGUAUGUAAUGGAGUUAAAAUAUAAAUGUAUGUAUUAUUUUAGAUGAUAGGUUAAUACUAUUUUUUGCCUACAAAUUUUGGAAUUAUCUAAUUAUUUCAAUAUAAUAUAAUAACACUCAUAAAGCGAUAGUAUAUAAUAAAAAAAAAGCUUGAUGUAUCAAAUCUUUCCAUAAAAAUACGGAUCAAUGGAUCAUUUAAGUAAUUGUUUUUAUUGUGUUAUCUUUUUAAACUUUUUACUAAAAUAAUAUGUAAAAUUUGAAAUUUAAAUUGUAAAUCCUCUUUCAUAGUUAAAUAUUACAAGUUUCAAAAAGAUUUUAUUUCUUAUAUAUAUAUUUUUAAAUUUUUUAUAUGUCCAUUUACAUAAAAAAGUUUUAAAAUUUUUGCUAUUAUAUAAUUUAAGUUAAAAUUUUAAAAAUUGAAAAAAUUAUUUAAAUUUAAAAAUUUUAUUAUAAUUAUAUCUAAAUUUUAAAUUUCAAUUAAAAAAAAAGUGUGUUUUACUCACAUGAAAAUAUGAUAUAAAUUAUUUUAUUAUAUUCAUAUUAUAUAGAUAAAUUUCAUUAUUAUACUCAUAUAUUAUAUAGAUAAAUUCUAUUAGUAUAAAAAAUCUAAAAUUUUUUUAUUAUUUUAUAAUUUAAUUUAAAUUUUAAAAUUUAGUGUAAUUUAAUUGAGAAUUUCUAAAUCUAUUGUUUUUUGUCUCUGUUUGGCCUGAUGCAAUAAAUUAUAACUUUAAUUUUUUAUGUUUACCAUUAAUUUUAACAGAAAUCACAAUAGAUUUUAUAUUUCUUAAUUUCUUAAUUUUUUAAAUAUUUUGCCAAGUGUUGAUCAUAAAAAAAAAAAUCUAUUCAUUAUAAAAAAUCAUGUCAUUGUAAUAAAAAGUGUAAAUUAUAGUCUUAUUGUUUAUAGUGUUAUUAAUAUUUUAUUACUGUUCAAUAAUAUAAAUUAAUAUUUAAAGAUACAAGUAUAUACGUUAUAUUAAUAGCAAAUAUUAUUAAAUCAAAAAAAUUAAAAGAACCAUAAAAGAGUUUAUACGCUUAACAUAUGGGAAAGAAUUAUGAUAAUAAAUUUUUAGAAAUUUAAUAAUAAUAAAAAAAAAUUUAAAAAUUUUAAAUUGAAUUAUAUCAAUUUUAUUUUAAUAGUAUUUAACUGGAUAAUAUAUUAAUAUAAUAAAAUAAUUUACAUCAGUGAACUCUGGUUAAAAUUUUUAAAUUUAAAUAUAAUUAUAAUAAAAUUUAUAAUUUUAUUAAUUUUAUUUUAAAUAAAAAUUAGAAAUUGAGAGUAGAAUAUGAGACUUAUCAUAUUUACUUAAAUGGAUUUACUAUCAAAUUAAAUUUGUGAGUCCAAUUUUAUUAAUUUUUAAAUUUUAAAUUAAAUUAUAAAAUAAAAAAAUAUUAAAAUUUUAUAUAAAUAGCCCAUUUUAUAUAUAAUUAACUUUUUUAUCUAUGUUAAUUUUAAAAAUAUAAAUAUAAAAUUUAGAUUACCCGAUCUGAUUUGAAUUGGACUAAUCGAUUAAAUUAAAUCAACUAAUUGAAUUAGACCAAUUGAUUAAAUUGAAUUAAUAUCUUGAAUUAAACCGAUUGAUCGCAUAAUAUUAUUUACUAAAUCAGUAAAUUAAAUUGAUAUAAUAUUUAAAAUCGGACUGAUAAAUCAUAUUGAUUUAAAAUAUUAAAUUAUAUCAAUCAAUAAGAACAAAACGAUAUUUAAAAUUAGAUCAGCCUAUCAAGAGUGAUUAUAUUGAUUAUUUGAUCGAGUCUAAUUUAUAAUAAAAUGGCUAGAAAUAUUAUAUAUUAUAUGCUGCAUAAGAGACUUAACAUAUAAUUACAUAAUAUAAAAAAUUUAAACUAAAUUAAUUUUAUAAACUAUAUAUUAUAUGUGAGACUUAACUCAUCAUUUAUUUUUGUACCAAAUAUUUUAAAUUAAAUUAACUCUAUAUAUUAUAGAAUGAAAUUACUCGCAUGUACUGAAUGUGAAGCUUAAUAUAUGACUUAUUUUCUAUGUCAUAUAUAAAUUAAAUUAUAUGAUAUGUACUGUAAUAUAUAGAUGAUGUUUAAUCAAUAUUUUUUUACCAAUUAAAAUUUUUGUUCAUAUUUAUUUAUGAAAAUGCUUGAAAUUUACAUUAUUUUGAAAUGUUUGAUGCAUCUUCCUCAAUUCUUUAAGACAGUUAUGUGGAUUUAUAGAGAAAUUGAAAAAAGUAAUAUUGUAAUGCAAGUUUAUUUUAAUUUUAAUUAAAUUUAAUUGUAUGUAGAGAAUAUAAAAUAAUUAUAAUUUUAAUUCAAUUAAAUUAUAUAUGAAGUAAAUAAGAUGAUAUUGUUUUUAAUUUAAUUUAAUCAUAAUAUAUGUAAUAUGAAUUAAUUUUAAUUUAAUUAACCCAGUUUAUGAUUUAUAUAAAGUGAUUUCAAUUUAAUUUAUUUAUUUUAUAAUUAAUAUAAUAUUAAUUAAUUUUAAUUUAAAUUAACUCAUAUAUAGUGAAAAUAUUAUAAAUUGAUUUUAAUUAAUUUGAUUGACUCAUAUGGAUAUAAGAUGAUUUUAAUUUUAAUUUAAUUGAAUUAUUUUAUAAUAAAAUUAUAAUUAAAUUUAUAAUAUAAUAAAUAUAUAAUUUCAUUUAUAUUAUAUUAUAUACACUAAAUAUAUUAUAUAAACAAUUAUUUUUACAUUAUACAGAAAAAUAAUUAUUUUUUAAUUAUUUCUUAUGUUUUAAAAAUGAAAUUUUGACUGUAAAAUUAUAUGGAUAAAAUAACAUUUUAUAUUAAUGAAUCCUUUUGAUCUAUGUUAAAUGUGAAUUUAUUCGGUUACUCAAUUAUGAUUUUAAAUAAAAUAUAAAUUUUUAAUGAAAAUUAAUUAUUUUCCAUUAAAAAAAAUAAUUUUUUUCCUUCAAUUUAAAUAAUUUUGCUGAUUUGUUUUUAUUAGUGUAUAUCUAUAUUGUUAUUUGUAUUCAUAUAAUAACGUCUACAUAAUCGGAAACAGUAGUGGAACAGAUAAGCCCAACAAAUUAAAAUAAGAAAUAAAAAAUUUGGAAAUUGGACAGGACAACUGCUACAUAACCAAUUUCAAUGAAAAAAAGCAAACCCUCUGGCCUCCGCGGCUCAUUUUCUGCAAAAAAGAGGGAAGAAAGGUGCGAGAUCAGUCAGGGAGUGGGAAAUCAGCGGUUCUCGAACUGAAAGUGAGGGGCGUGGCUGUGGAUCUGCUUCAAAGCCGUUUCCCCUUUUUACCUCACUCGUCGCCGUCCGAUAGCAUUUCCCCUUCAAAACCAGAGUUUUUCAUAGUCAGGUGCUCACUUUUUCUCUACUCUCUUUUGUCUUUUGUAUUUGCUUUCUGUUAUUCUCCGUUUGUAGGAUUCUGAGUGUUUGCUCUUAUCUAGUCUCAGAUUUUUUUUUUUUUGCGGGAUUUUAGUUGAUCUGCUUUGCCUUAUACAAAUUAUGUGCUGUGUUUUCAGGUCCCUGGUUGAACCAUCAUGGCUUCCAAGCGUAUUUUGAAGGAACUUAAGGAUUUGCAGAAAGAUCCACCUACUUCUUGCAGUGCAGGUUUGUGUCAGAUGAUUCAUUUCUUAUUGCUGUCGUUAUUGAUUGUUUUAGAUUUCAGUUACCGGUGCUUAUUCUCAACGAUAUUUCAUUACUGAGGGUGUUGCGACGAUUUAGCCCAUGCAUAGUCUAGUUAAAUUUGUAUUGCGUCUAACUUGUUCUACACUUAGCCUGGCUCUGUGACUCGGGUGGUUGUUAUUGGGGAUUGGGAAUUUGCGUGGGAGAUUAUAGCUUCGAGACAUAGUGC
rnacentral:lncRNA from 1 species